CCUGCUGGGGUUGGCAGAACCUCAACUCUGCCAAAUGAAUGGGAACGAGAGGAGUCCGUGGGCUCCUGCGAGCAGAGAGGCGAACGAAACCGAUCGACGGUCGCUGGAAGCUCCGCGAACCGUCCUACCCUCCCCCCGCCCCCCCCGUGCCGCCGUUGCCAGGACGCGGCAUGGCGGAGCAGGAGCUGGCCGCGCUGCCCCUGCCGCAGCUCCGGGCCCGCCUGGAGCAGAAGCGGUACCGGCGGCGGGGGCCGGGCCGGGGACGGUGGCCUGCGGACACGGGGCCGGAGGGGGCGGCGGGGCGAGGGGAUGCACCGGGCCAGAGCCUGGGCGCCAUGCCAACGACUUGCUGAGAACCAGGGUGAAGCUGUUUGAGAACCAGUACCGUAAGAUGCAGCCGAGCAGCAGCCCAGGCUUCCCGCAGCACGGCUCCCCACCAGAGCUGAUACCCAUACUGACCCGUGGCAGGUCCAGAUCCAGGCUGUACAGCGGUUCAUUGGCCCAUUUUGCAGUGCUGACGGUGGAGCAGAAAUGUGAGCUGGCGGAGCGGGAGCUGCUGGACGUGAAGUGUGACAUUCAGAAGGUGGAGGAGGACUCGGAGAAGACCUUGCACGACCUCGAGGCAGUCAUACAAGAAGCUGAUGUUUGGUGGGCUGACAUUAAGAAAGUUGUCAGUGACUUUGAGGAUGACAUUGUCAGAACCAUCUCCAACAAGAAAGGGAGCAUCACAGCUUCUGAAAAGCUGCUGAGAUACCUGGAGGAGAAGAACCACCAGAGGGAUCUAAUGAGACAGAAGCUGCGCUUAGAAAGCAAUUUGCUCAGGAGCUACAAGAAGAAGCUGCAGCAGCAGCUCAGGCAGAAGAAGCAGACGGGAGAAAUGCUCCAUGAGGUCCAUGCAGAGCUGCUGCAGGUUAAGAAAGCACAGUACGAGGAGGAGAUUGAUGAGAAGAACCAAGAGCUGCAGCAGCUAAAGCUGGCCUUAGAGAAGAUCCAGGUCCUCAACUUCUGGAAGAAAAAGCUGCAGAAUGCCUUGGAAACAUCUACAGUUCUGCAGAAAGACAUCUCCCAGAGGAAAGAGAUGCUGGAGAAGAUUGAAAGAAGUACUACUCUUGUGAAGGAGCAACAAGCCAAAGAGGAGAGUCUCAUUGAGAGGCUGCAGAAGCAGCUGUCAGACUACAGCACCCCUCCCGUGAUGAGUUAUGUGCAGAUGAGGAUGGCUAUCGCUGACCUAGAAAAGAGUAUCAAGGCUUGGGAGAGGAGGGUGGCAAUCGCUGAGGUGAGGGAGAUGGGGCCGGGAGCAGGCUGGGGCUGUCUUCUGGUGUGCUGCUGCAGGCAGGGCUGGAGGCUCUUCCUGGUGGCUGCUCCCUACCCCCAGGAGAAAGGCUGAAUUUUAACAGCUGAGCUUGGAGGUGAGGACAUAGCAUGUAACUUGACCGGCUGCACCAUCAGGCUGGGCUCAUGCUGGAACCUGAAGGGUGUGUAAAGAAAAGGGGACACAUGGUGCCUGGGACGUGUCUGGCUGCAGUACUCCAGCCAGCCAAUGGCUCCCCAGUGCUGGUGGUCCUCUUUCAUGAUCUCAAACAUUUCUUUCUCAUCCGUAUCUUGACUGUUCCCUGGUAAGGAACGGCUGUAUCUGGCCAAGAGCUGACAAACAUGAGUUCAUGGCAAAGUUGCAAGAACAACAUCUUUGUCUCUGCCCCUGGCACAACUCCUGCAGCCUGGGAGGAGAUGUUGAGAUAAGAGAGGAGCAUUGUCAAAGCCCAAGUGCUGCAGCGAGCACUGAGUGCAGAUGACCUUGCAAAGCCACCACAGAGCAUGGAACCAAGUCAAGAUGUCUGGUAACCCGCACCUGGGUUGUGUGAUGCAUCAGGGCAAGCAGUGGAAGCUGCAGAGGGAGCCAGCCUUGUGGGGAAAUGCGCUGUCAAAU